rnacentral:rRNA from 1 species
CAGAGGGGGCGAGCGUUAUUCGGAAUUAUUGGGCGUAAAGGGCGCGUAGGCGGCUUGGCAAGUGGAGGGUGAAAUCCCUCGGCUUAACCGAGGAACUGCCCUCCAAACUGCUUUGCUUGAGGCCGGGAGAGGUGAGUGGAAUUCCCAGUGUAGCGGUGAAAUGCGUAGAUAUUGGGAGGAACACCAGUGGCGAAGGCGGCUCACUGGACCGGUUCUGACGCUGAUGCGCGAAAGCGUGGGGAGCAAACGGGAUUAGAUACCCCGGUAGUCCACGCCGUAAACGAUGAGUGCUUGGUGUAGCGGGUAUCGACCCCUGCUGUGCCGAAGUUAACACAUUAAGCACUCCGCCUGGGGAGUACGGUCGCAAGGCUG